UACGUAGGUCGCAAGCGUUGUCCGGAUUUACUGGGCGUAAAGAGCGCGCAGGCGGCUGGUCAAGUCCGAUGUGAAAUCUCCCGGCUCAACUGGGAAACUGCAUCGGAAACUGAUCGGCUUGAAGGUGGGAGAGGGUAGUGGAAUUCCCGGUGUAGUGGCGAAAUGCGUAGAUAUCGGGAGGAACACCAGUGGCGAAGGCGACUACCUGGCCCAUUCUUGACGCUGAGGCGCGAAAGCUAGGGGAGCGAACGGG
rnacentral:rRNA from 1 species